CCAAGUCUGACGCAGGAUGGUACCAAUGUGGUCUGGACAGAUUUUUCCUCCCUGACUCAUACCAGGACUUUAAGAUCAGAGUUACAGAUGCUCCAACAUCUUCAAAACCAGAAGUGACUCUCCAACCUUUUUCAUCAUCAGCCCAAUCAGCCUCCACACUGACCCCCACACAGAGUCUGAGCUCCAAACCUUCCUCAGCCUCCCCUGAACGCACCACACAGCCUCAACAGGGACAGACAGUUCUAGCUGGUCACGGUACUUUUAGUUUGUUGUUUGUGUUUAUGGACCAGGAAGUAUCAGAGUAAACAAAGUGUUCUUCUGCUCUCAGGUGUGGUGCUGUAUGUGCGUCUGACUCUGGUCGUCAUGUUCCUCGUACUCUCAGCGUCUGUGUUGAUAUUCUGCUGGAAGAGGGCCAGGAAAGAUCCUCCUGUGGAACCUGAGUAUGGUGUUGACACUGAGGCUAACCAAGUUUAUGAAGACGUCAGAGAGGAGGACGGAGGGAGCGGUUCUCCACCUGUAUUAAUAUCUACCAUUUACUCCUACGC